UUUAAAGAAAUUCAUAUUAGUUAAUUACUAUUAAUAAUGAUUUAAUAAACUGAAUUCAAACAAUAUGUAAGUCCCAAAACUAUCAACCGGAUAUCAAAAUCACAAUCAAGAGUGCGGAAUACUGAUGAAAGUGAUAAAGAACAAGAACAAUCAAUCGAUUAAAUUACCAAAGUGCACAUGGUUUCUAGAGAACCGUCUGGUACACUUGAGAGAAUUCGAAAAUACUCGAGGAACAAUAAACUGAACAGCCAACCUUCUAAUGACCUAGGUUAACCCUAUUUAUAGUUACAUAGGGUGACCUAGUUAUAGACUGGACCAGGCCCACAUGCACAAAUAAUUAACUAAAUAAGCCCAAAUCACUAAAUUAGCCCACAUGGAUUAUUCCAUUACUAUCUAACCCACUACAAGGCUAUGCCCAAUAGCCUAUAAUUGUGUUUGAUAAAGAUAAGCGUAAACCUACCCAAUUAUAGGGCCUUACACAAUAACCCGUUACAGUGGUAGCGCGCGGACUCUCACUAAUCAUUUGAUAUAUCCCAAACCCUAAAUCCCUUCCUCUCAGCUCCAACACUCGCGAAUUCAAGGUACAACAUAAAUACUAGCCCUAAUUUCCAUGAUUUCAUGAUCUCAUUGUUUGUUUUCGCCCAAGUUUGUCAGAUUUCGGUAUGCACUUUGUGAAUCGAGGUAAUCUUUCCCUAAUCUCUCAUUUUCCAUGAUCUAUUAUCCCUAUAUUUCCAUGAUCUUUGUUAGUUUUCAAGAUCCCAUUGUUUGUUUUCGCCCAAAUUUGUCAGAUUAUUCAGUACGCACUUUGUGAUUCGAGAUGGAGCCGGAAACAGCAUUCGAGUCAUUUGUGAAAUGAAAUCUGGAAACUUUAAAGCAACAUCCUAGACUCAUUGCACCGUUCCAGGGGACACAUAGAUGUGCAACUUUCCAUGAUCAUUACCCGGGAUCUGUCAAUCAGUCUACAUUAGAUGAACAACUUCAAGGAAAAAGAAUCCGCGCAUCCACCCAUGGAUGGCUGAUUCUUUUCGACAACACUCAUUACUUUCACCAUGAGGACAACAAUUUCAUGUUGUCUUUUCUGAACCCGAUCAAUUUGAAGUUGAUCAACCUCCCACCUGUUACUCACCCUGGAGAUUUCGAGGACUUUUGUUUGUCAUAUCCGCCUGAACAUCCACGUUCUUUUUUUAUGAUGUUUAGUAAAAAAAAACCGUACUAUUGUUUAUUGUGUUCUACACCGUGAAGAUGGAGCGAGAUUAAAAUGGAUUAAACACUCAUAUACUCAACAGAUCCUAGACAUAACCGAAGUAGAACUAUCUUCUCGCCUAAAGAGUGCAGCUUGUUGCAAUGGUCGCGUCUACUGUAGGUUUGUUAAUCGGAGGGAUCGGUUUAGAUAUGUCAUACAUGUUGAUACAAUGAUGAGAGGAGAUGAAGCUGAGAUAAGUCUAGUGCCAAUUGUAGUAAUUCCUCCAGGUUCUGAACUUCCUAACCCUUAGACACACUUGAUGUCUCAUCGUAUGCUGAAAGCAACAUGUACGGAUCUGUUUUACAAUGCUAUUGAAGUCAACCUGAGAGAGAAUGUUAUUGAAAGCUUCCGUCCUUUUAAACUAGAUCUGACUAGGAUUUGCCUCUGGGAAGAGAUAAAAGAUCUUAAGAACGCUGCUUUUUUUCUUGAAAUGGAUCUGAUGAAUAAGCCAUAUUCAGCGUACUACAAAUCUGAGGUUGCUCCCGAGAUCGGGGGAUUUAUACAUGUUCUAACACCUAGUGUGAUCUAUGGUGGAUUGGUAAAAUCACUCGAGAUCAAACACUCGAGAUCAAAGAUUCAUCCAGGAUCAUGGAGGGCUAUUUUGGUAUUCCUAAUCCUUAUGAGGUUGAUGGUGGAAUGUUACGUUCGUACCAUAUCAAAAGUUCAUCCAGCAUCACAAAAAAAGUUGGUAUUGUACUACAAAGUCUCGUUUUACUAGGGGCAAUGAUUGAAGGAAAUGCUAGGUUAAGUUGAUCAUCAUGUUGUGAGCUGGGAGACCAGAAGAAAGAGAUCUGUUAGAAGAAAGAGAUCUAUUACAUGACUUUAAUAGUUUUACUUGUUUUUUAGUAGUUGUAAUGAAAGAGGGACCUGUUUGUAAUAGUUAUUGGUUGAGGGAUUUUUUGUAUAUGUUUAGUAUGCGACAAUUUACACGAUUGAAUUGACAAUUAGAGUUGUUGGUUGAGGGAUUUUUUGUAUAUGUUUAGUAUGUA